rnacentral:tRNA from 1 species
AUUUAUAUAGUUUAAAUAUUAAAACAUUACACUUUCACUGUAAAAAUAAAAAAUAAUUUUUUAUAAAUA